AUGUCCCACCAAACACGUGCCUACCAUAUAGUCAAACCCAGCCCCUGACCACUAACAGGAGCUCUCUCAGCUCUCCUAAUAACAUCUGGCCUGGCCAUGUGAUUUCACUUUAACUCUAUCACCCUUUUAACCCUAGGCCUACUAACCAACACACUAUAUAUACCAGUGAUGACGUGACAUUAUCCAAGAAAGUACAUUUCAAGGCCCCCACACAUCAAUCAUCCAAAAAGGCCUCCGAUAUAGCGUAAUUCUAUUCGUUAUCUCAGAAGUAUUCUUUUUUGCUGGUUUCUUCUGGGCAUUCUACCACUCUAGCCUAGCCCCAACUCCAGAGCUAGGGGGACAUUGACACCCAACAGGCAUUUUUCCCCUCAACCCCUUAGAAGUCCCUCUCCUGAAUACACCUGUAUUACUUGCAUCAGGAGUUUCAACUACCUGGGCUCACCACAGCCUGAUAGAAAGUAGUAGAAAGCAGAUACUUCAAGCACUAUCCAUCACAAUUACCUUAGGAAUUUGUUUGACCCUUCUACUAGUCUUAGAAUAUUUCGAGGCCCCGUUUACUAUCUUUGAUGGAAUCUACAGCUCAACAUCCUUCAUAGCCACAGGCUUUCACGGACUUCAUGUUAUUAUUGGAUCAACAUUUCUCACUAUCUGCCUCCUCCGCUAAUUAAAAUUCCACUUUACAUCCAACCACCACUUUGGCUUUGAAGCUGCCGCCUGAUAUGGACACUUCAUAGAUGUAGUAUGACUAUUCUUAUACGUCUCUAUCUACUGAUGAGGAUCC
rnacentral:lncRNA from 1 species